GACAGAGGGUGCAAACGUUGUUCGGAAUUACUGGGCGUAAAGCGUGUGUAGGUGGCUGCGAAAGUCGGAUGUGAAAGCCCACGGCUCAACCGUGGAAGCGCAUCCAAAACUGCUUCGCUCGAGUCUCGGAGAGGAAGGUGGAAUGCUUGGUGUAGAGGUGAAAUUCGUAGAUAUCAAGCAGAACACCUGCGGCGAAGGCGGCCUUCUGGACGAUGACUGACGCUGAGACGCGAAAGCGUGGGGAGCAAACAGG
rnacentral:rRNA from 1 species